rnacentral:rRNA from 1 species
CCGAGUUUACAACUCCCAAACCCCUGUGAACAUACCACUUGUUGCCUCGGCGGAUCAGCCCGCUCCCGGUAAAACGGGACGGCCCGCCAGAGGACCCCUAAACUCUGUUUCUAUAUGUAACUUCUGAGUAAAACCAUAAAUAAAUCAAAACUUUCAACAACGGAUCUCUUGGUUCUGGCAUCGAUGAAGAACGCAGCAAAAUGCGAUAAGUAAUGUGAAUUGCAGAAUUCAGUGAAUCAUCGAAUCUUUGAACGCACAUUGCGCCCGCCAGUAUUCUGGCGGGCAUGCCUGUUCGAGCGUCAUUUCAACCCUCAAGCACAGCUUGGUGUUGGGACUCGCGUUAAUUCGCGUUCCUCAAAUUGAUUGGCGGUCACGUCGAGCUUCCAUAGCGUAGUAGUAAAACCCUCGUUACUGGUAAUCGUCGCGGCCACGCCGUUAAACCCCAACUUCUGAAUGUUGACCUCGGAUCAGGUAGGAAUACCCGCUGAACUUAAGCAUAUCAAUAAGCGGAGG